rnacentral:rRNA from 1 species
AACGUCGUCGGCAAUGUCAUCUCCUUCGGCCUCUUCCUCUCCCCUGUGCCGGCGUUCUGGCGGAUCAUCAAGAACAAGGACGUGGAGGAGUUCAAGUCGGACCCGUACCUAGCUACGCUGCUCAACUGCAUGCUCUGGGUGUUCUACGGCAUCCUCUGCGUUAUAUUCGGCUCGGCAAUGUACGCCUCCCCGCUCACCAUCAUGGUACGUACCCAUCGAUCCCGCUCUUGA